CCACAUGGAUGAGCAAGGAAAGUAGUUUCUUGAGAUGGAAACUACUCCCUGUGAAGAUACUGUCAA
rnacentral:pre_miRNA from 1 species